rnacentral:rRNA from 1 species
GACGAACGCUGGCGGCGUGCUUAACACAUGCAAGUCGAACGACGUGGCGAACGGGUGAGUAACGCGUAAUCAACCUGCCCUUCAGAGGGGGACAACAGUUGGAAACGACUGCUAAUACCGCAUACUGAAGGAGGGGAUUGCGUCUGAUGAGCUAGUUGGAGGGGUAACGGCCCACCAAGGCGAUGAUCAGUAGCCGGUCUGGGAGGAUGAACGGCCACAUUGGGACUGAGACACGGCCCAGACUCCUACGGGAGGCAGCAGUGGUGAAGCUGCCGCAAUGGACGAAAGUCUUACGGAGCAACGCCGCGUGAGUGAUGACGGCCUUCGGGUUGUAAAGCGCUGUUAAUCGGGACGCGGUACCGGAAUAGAAAGCCACGGCUAACUACGUGCCAGCAGCCGCGGUAAUAC